GUUUUAAUAAUUUAACAAAAAUACUGGUCUUGUAAAUCAGAAAUAAGCUUUUUUGCUUUUAAAACU
rnacentral:tRNA from 1 species